UACGUAGGGCGCAAGCGUUAUCCGGAAUUAUUGGGCGUAAAGAGCUCGUAGGCGGUUUGUCGCGUCUGCUGUGAAAGACCGGGGCUCAACUCCGGUUCUGCAGUGGGUACGGGCAGACUAGAGUGCAGUAGGGGAGACUGGAAUUCCUGGUGUAGCGGUGAAAUGCGCAGAUAUCAGGAGGAACACCGAUGGCGAAGGCAGGUCUCUGGGCUGUAACUGACGCUGAGGAGCGAAAGCCAGGGGAGCAAGCGGG
rnacentral:rRNA from 1 species